CAAACCUGGCACCCCCCCCCCCCAAGCCAAUUCACAGCCCUCCGGACCACAGUGACCUCAAGACCCACCUCCGACAGUCCUCCAACAGCCACUGGACCACCAGACUAACGAUAGACCUCAGACAGCUCACCCUCGGACGCUACAGACACUCCCCCGCCCGGCACUGGCGCCCCUUCUCCCCCAGUCGCCCCCUGGACACAGCCAUCACUCGUCUAAGGAUUGGACACACCCGCCUCAACGCCCACCUGCACAGACUGAACAUAGUCCUAGACCCACACUGCCCAUGGUGCCCCACACAACCUGACACACCAGAACACCUCCUCCUCCACUGCCCAAGAUUCCACUCCCUCCGCACCACCCUCAAAGCAUCCUUAACCAGUCUCCGUAUUCACAGGCCAACCCUAGAGGACCUGCUGGGCAGCGACGCCCUCAGCCCCAACACUGCCUUCCACGCCCUCAAGUGCACGCAAACCUUCCUGCAGAAGUCGGGGCAACUCGACAGGAUCUAACUCCCGCCCUGGUGACAGGACGGCCAACACAAUAAACGACUCCUGAUAACAACUACCACUGACGGGGCUCUAGAGGCUGUGGGCCCACAGCCUAACUAGCCCCAUAAAACACCCACGAAGAAGAAGAAGAACAGAAGGACACGUCUCUUGACUUCCUGGCCAAAUCUUACUCAGUGAUUGUAAUAUCCUCGUUAAAACAUGGCCAUUAGUGUCGUUAAUCACGUUGGGCAUUGCAGUUCAUCGUUAACACCGCGGAGUACCUGCAGAAGGCGUUGUAGAGGGCCCAGCGCCCCCCCCUACCUAGGCCUCCCCAUAUAUAGGCCUAUGCGCUGGUGAUUUUGACAUGUGGCAGCUUGGGGUCGGGGUCCUCUGCCCCAAGGGGAUGACCAGAACAUGCACCUCCUCCCGCCAGGCAUGGGGGGUGGAGGUGGAGGUGGAGCGCCGUCACACCAUGAUAACAGGUUUCCCCGUGACUCGCGUGCCGAUUUCGUUGACCAGCGGGGCAUACAGUGCUUCUGAGAGCCCCCGCCCCAGCCCUGAGACCUGCGGGGUGACCCACUGGACUUGAGUGAUCGUGAUGACAUUGACAACAACGAGCAAGUCCUCCUAGACCUAGAGUGACCUCAAGCUGGGCCAAACAUGAUGUGGAAGAAGAAAUCAGUUGUCUCCAUCAGUCGGGUUUGUGCCAUGGCAGCUUUCUCCAGCUGUCCGGCAGAGGUCCAGUCCAUGCCAUGGAGAAAUUCAGCCCCCAACAAUGAGAUGGCAUGCCAGAGAUGGAUCUGCAGCUUCUCCUCCAAUCAAUCAAUCCUUGCAAUGCCCUUUCUCUUUUCUCUUCUUCUGUACCACCAUGCUUACACAUAACUGAUCCAAGGUACUUAAACUCGUUAACCUCCUCCAUUUCUUCACCAUUCAAAAUUAUUUGGCAUUCUUUUUCACAUUCAAUGCCCACUCUAUAUGGGCAUACAAACUCUACAACCUCCCUUCUACUCCGCUCACAAACCAUCACUUUACUUUUGUUGACAUUUACUUUCAACUUUCUCCUUUUACAUACACUAUCAAAAACACUGACCAAAUUUUGUAAGUCACUUUCAUUUUCUGCAUUGAGCACCGUGUCAUCAGCAAAUAAGAUUGAAUUCAUCACCCACUUCCCUCCCUCCCUCAGCAUACAUUUUUACUUCAAUUUCCCCAACUUUGCCCUUCAUUUCUCAUAACACCAUCCAUAUAAAUAUUGAACAACCAUGAUGACAUGACACACCCCUGCCUUAGCCCACUUUCAUCUUAAAAUGUUCACUUGUUUCUCCAGUAAUUUUGACACAUGCAGAUGCAUCCUCAUAGAAAGACUUUAUUGCAUAAAGCAGUUUUCCUCCCACACCAUAUAUCUUGAAGACGUCCCACAAUGCCAGCAUAGUAUUUUUUCCUUUUGCUAAUAUUUUUUCUAAUAAAACACCAUCCUGAAGGAAAAUAUCUGAUCCACACAUCCUCUUCCCUUCCUGAAGUCUCCUUGUUCUUCACUGAUUUUCUCUUCUGUAAGUCUUUGCGCAGUCUCAAUUAGGACUUUUCCAUAUACCUUUCCAGGUAGCCUACACUCAGCAGACUUAUACCCCUACAACUCCCACCUCCCCUCUCCUGCCCUUCCCCUUGUAAACUGGGACCAUGAUGGCUUUUGUCAAGUCUGCUGGGACCUCCCCCCCCCUUCCCAGGCCACUUCACAUAUCUUGACCAUUCAUAUAGUAACUUCAUCUCCACACUUCAACAUUUCUGCUGUGAUUCCUCUCAAUUCAUUUAUCAUCAUCAUCUCAUCGACGCCUGCUCUUAGGAGCUCCCACCAGGGGAUGGCCACGGCAGGAGUUUCCAUCUUUCUCUAUCCGGACACUCCCUCCUUGCCUGCUCAAAGUUUCUCAAGGAUCUCUCAUCCUUCUCCCUAACGUACUCCUGCACCCUAUCUCUCCAUUUCACUGGAGGUCGUCCUCUAACAUUCCCUCCCUCAAUCUCACAUACACCCUUCUGGUCAUCUUACUCUCCUCCAUUCGCUCCAUGUGGCCAAACCACUUUAAAAUCACUCAUUCCCUUCACCCCCGUGACACAUUCCAAAACGCUCAUACACACUUUCAUUACUUAUUCCAUCCAUUCUACUCACACCACAAGCACUCCUCAAAUAACUCAUUUCCACUGCCUGCACUCUAGACCUCUGACUUUCAUUCAAGGCCCAUGUUUCACUUGCAUAUGUGAGGGUUGGUACUAUUAUUGUAUUUUCAACUGAUAACUGAUCCAGGGUACUUAAACUCAUUGAGCUCCUCCAUUUCUUCACCAUUCAGAAUUAUUUUGCAUUCUUUUUCACAUUCAGUUCCCACUCUAGAUGGGCAUACAAAAUCUACAACUUCACUUCUACUCCCCUCACAAACCAUCACUUUACUUUUGUUGACAUUUACUUUCAGCUUUCUCCUUUUACAGACGCUAUGAAAAUCACUGACCAAGUUUUGUAAGUCACUUUCAUUUUCUGCAAUGAGCACUGUGUCAUCAGUAAACAGGAUUGAAUUCAGCACCCACUGCCUUCCCUCAGCGUACAUUUUUACUCCAACUUUGCCCUUUAUUUCUCUCAUGACACCAUCCAUAUAAAUAUUGAACAACCAUGGUGACAUGACACGCCCCUGCCUUAAUCCCACCUUUAUCUCAAAAUGUUCACUUGUUUCUCCACCAAUUUUGACACAUGCAGAUGCAUCCUCAUAGAAAGACUAUUGCACUAAGCAGUUUUCCUCCCACACCAUAAAUCUUUAAAACAUCCCACAAUGCAAUCCAAUCGAAUCUGUCGUAAGCUUUUUCAAAGUCCAUGAAGGCAGCGUAUAGUUUCUUUCCUUUUGCUAUUAUUUUUUCUCCUACCAUCCUGAAGGAAAAUAUUUGAUUGAUUCCAUCAGUUCCUGCUGCUUUUCCAUUUUUUAAUCUUUUUAAUGCCUGAUUUACUUCUUCAUAUGUUAUACUUCUUUCUUUAUAUACUCCUCCUCUACCUCCGCUCAAAACUGUUGCUGUAACAGCUGCUGGAUGUCCAUCAUCAAAAUUCAUUAAGUUUUUGAAAUAUUCUCUCCAUGUCUCUUUCACAGCUUCCCCGUCUUUGAACAUCUUUCCAUUCUCACCCAUAACUUCAUUAAUUUUCCUUGGGGAGAUAUUAUUGGGGUGAUGCUUUUCUUUAAUUUUUUACUUCUUUCCAAUAUGAUUUCCUGUUCCCUUUAUAUUUUUCACUUAGUCUUUUCCAAAGUCUUCACCAACUCUCUUCUUACUUUCUUUUAUUGCUUGUUUUAAUUUCAUUUUGCAUUCUCUAUAUUUCUUUUUCCUUUCCCUUUUUACUUGCUCAACCACAUUUCUUUCUUAAGUUUUCUUAAAAAAGUUCCCUUUUCUCUUUUACUAUCCUCCUUAUCUCUUCUGUCCACCAUGAAUUUCCUUUUCUUUUUCCAUCUCUCACCACUUUCAUCCCUAACACUUUUUUGUUGUAGUUAACACUACUUCUUUAAAUGUUCCAAAAACUUUUUCAGUAUCUGUACUAUCUUUCACACUUUCCCAUUUUUCACUUAAGGCCUCUGCCAUUUCACGUUAUACUCAUCUUUUAUUUCUUUUUUCCUGUAACUUUUCUAUCUUCAGUAUUUCCUUUUUUACUUCACCUUUCUUUUCAAACACCCACUUUUGCAAGAUGGUCAGAGCCAUCGAACAUCCCGCUUACUACCUUCACACACAGAUAUCCUUUCUCA